rnacentral:rRNA from 1 species
GACGAACGCUGGCGGCGUGCUUAACACAUGCAAGUCGAACGGUGAAGGGAUCAGCUUGCUGGUUCUGGAUGAGUGGCGAACGGGUGAGUAACACGUGAGUAACCUGCCCCCUUCUUCUGGAUAACCGCAUGAAAGUGUGGCUAAUACGGGAUAUUCUGGGUCUGUCGCAUGAUGGGUCUGGGAAAGAUAUUGUUUCGGUGGGGGAUGGGCUCGCGGCCUAUCAGCUUGUUGGUGGGGUGAUGGCCUACCAAGGCGGUGACGGGUAGCCGACCUGAGAGGGUGGAAGAUCACACUGGAGAUGAGACACGGACCAGACUCGUACGGGAGGGAGGGGUGGGGAAUAUUGCGGAAUGGGCGCAAGCCUGAUGCAGCGACGCCGGGUGAGGGAUGGAGGCCUUCGGGUUGUAAACCUCUUUCGCAAGUGAAGCAGGCCUGCUCCUUGUGGGUGGGUUGACGGUAGCUGGAUAAGAAGCGCCGGCUAACUACGUG